CAGUGUACUGUGCACUAGCAAAUAAAGGGUGACCUGGUGACAGGACUCCUGCCUUUGUACAGUUAUUUCAGUGGUGAUGGGAGAAAACAGACACGCCUGAGGAACAUUUGCUUGCAACUGUCAUCUUGGAGUUGGGGGAAAUGAACCUUCAAGAAGUUCUGCAUUAACUUUGAGAGGUUUUCCAUUUGUUUCAUCGACCUAGCUACCUCUCAUGUUUUCCAUUUCGGAUGAAAGAUUUCCAAUGCCCAUUCUUUUUCAAAACACACCUCAUCGAUCUAAUUUACACCCCUCUGAAGCAUCUUGCGGCAUUUGUCAGUGUUAGAAGUGCUGGACAAAUGCAAAUUGCAGUUUCCUGCUGAGAUGAGAGUGACAGACUGCUCACAUUUGCCCUUUGUGAUAUCAUUUCAAUCCCUAAUGUGCGUCAGCUUUGUAAUAACCUUCAUUAGCAUCGAAUUAAAGGUCACACUGUGUCAUGGAAUCACACGCAGUGUAACUUUGACUGACAGUGCUCAGACUGACUUCACUUGGGACUGUUAACAGCCAUUACCAGAGGAUAUCUGCAUUCUGACUUG